GCUUACGGCCAUACCUCCCUGUCUUCGCCCGAUCUCAUCUCAUCUCGGAAGCUAAGCAGGGUCGGGCCUGGUUUGUACUUGGAUUGGAGACAGCCUGGGAUUACCAGCUGCUGUGAGCU
rnacentral:rRNA from 1 species